UUCAGCUGGAAUUUGAGAGACGUAAAUUUCGAUUAGGCAAUUGUUUUAUACCCAGUACCCAUUGAGAAUAGUCUGAUAUCUUCUCUAUGUUUGUUUAAUCACUACAUUUAUUAAUUCAUUUUAUUUACUGUCGUGCUUUUAGGUACGAAUAAAGGGCGUUCAUUCCUGCGAAAGCUUAAGAAGAAGGCUUCUGGAGUAAGAUGGCAAAAGAAGCUUUGUGUCCCAAUAUGAAGAUUGAAGCAGAGUUUAUAAUCAAAGAGAACCCCUAGUAUAAGCUGCAAAGGAAUAUGGCCGAUGGUAUAGCUGACACCUUAAACAAUUUAGAUGAAAUUGAUUUGCCGAAAAUAAAAGUUGUAUAGAGUUUAAAUCA